rnacentral:rRNA from 1 species
UACGUAGGUGGCAAGCGUUGUCCGGAAUUAUUGGGCGUAAAGCGCGCGCAGGUGGUUUCUUAAGUCUGAUGUGAAAGCCCCCGGCUUAACCGGGGAGGGUCAUUGGAAACUGGGAGACUUGAGUGCAGAAGAGGAAAGUGGAAUUCCAAGUGUAGCGGUGAAAUGCGUAGAGAUUUGGAGGAACACCAGUGGCGAAGGCGACUUUCUGGUCUGUAACUGACACUGAGGCGCGAAAGCGUGGGGAGCAAACAGG